AUUCUUGGGCUCCCCACUUGGGACCCCUCCUGCCCCUCAGGAGCUUUCCUAUCAAUAAAUAUCUUACUGCUUUUAACCUCCAUCUUUCCUAGGACUCAUUCCUCGAUUUCUAGAGAACAAGGACUCGGCGUAUCAUACAGUUAACAGCUUGGGAGAUAUAUUUCAUAUUUUAUUAUUUUCCACAACAUACCUGGCAUUCAUGAAGUCUCAUGUCCUUGCAUGGUAUUGCAAGGGGGAGAGUUUGUGGCUCCACCCCCAGAUCACACAUUGGAUUCCUGACCUCAGCCUGAUGGUUCAAGGAGAUGGAACCUUUGUGUAGUGAUGAUGUCAUGAAGUUGGGGCUCUUAUUCUGACAGUUAGUUCCUUAUAAAAGAGGCCCUGGAGAGCUUGCUGGUUAUCUUCUCUCAGCCAUGUGAGUCUUCAUCAGAUUCCAGAUCUGCCAGAGGCCUGAUCUUGGACUUUCAGCCCCCAGAGCUGAGAAACAAAAUUCUGAUUUUAACCAAUCAGACUAUGGCACAUUGUGAUGCCGACUGGCUCUAAGCCACUUAGGGAUCCAUACUGAACUACAUUCAGGUGAGAUGAAAGAACUGAUUCAAUGUGGAUAGAUAUCCAUGGCAAACACGGUGAAAGGUAGUGAGUCGUGGAAAUGUGUCUUUAGAGAAUAUAUCUUGUCCCCCAAUGCUAGGUUCCCUGGUCUCACUGCAUCCUUGCUACCAGGAAAUGAGCAGCCUUCCUGGGCUAUGGGCUCCUCCAUGCUGUUCUGCCUUAUCGCUGAUACAGCGUCAUAGAGGCAGCUGACCAUGGCCUCAAACCUCUGAAGCCAGGAGCCAAAUAAACCUGUCCUCCUUUAAAUUGGCUUUCUCAGGUAUUUUUAAAAGCAGCGACAGAAAUUAAUACAGACCCACCUACCCUUCUCCCUUGGGGACCUUGUCUGGAAAAGCAGCGGGGCCACAUUGGGCCUCUCAUGGAAACCAAGGAGGGCUAAUGGACACCAGGUACAAAGCCUUGAAGUUCACCUCCUACAUUGCAUCGGUUGGUGUGCUUUCUCCACUUUCAGAUACUUUUCUGCCAUUGCUGGAAGCAUCGUGAUGACAAUCACUGGAAGCUGCUCUGUAUGGAAUCCCUGCUCUGUGGGAACGUAUCAUGAUGCAAAGAAGGCCAGAUUCUGGAUUCCUCUCUGACCCGGCUGUGUGGCUGCACCUACCCCUGCUCCAAAUGUGCAGACCCAUCCAUGAGGCCACUCCCAUGGUGCCACUGCUGUCCCCACACAGCCAUCUGGCCCACACUGAAGCAGAAAGGUGGUGAGGCUGGCUGUUCCUAGGUUUAUCACAACAGGUUCAAGCAGGGGUGAAACACCUGCCCCGUAGAGCCAGGAUGCACAGUCCCAGGCCUGCCUGGUCCUUUCCCCAUGCAGACAGCACCCCAACUCCCCCUACUCCCAACUGGCCUUCCCCUGGAGCUAGGGAAACUAGACUGAACACCUGGUUGCAGGCUCUCUCCCUUGGUUCCUUACAUCCCAGGACCACCUUGCUGGAAGUCCAUCCACUUGCCCCAGGCUGCCUCCAACAUGCCCAGCUUCCCUGCAAGAGCUAAGAUAGCAUCAGGCUCCUGAUUGCACAGAUGAGAAGACUGAGGCAGAGGAAAGCAUUUGCCUCUAGUCAUCCAGCUGUUUAGCCAAGAGUCAAACCAAAAUCAGCAAGGAGGCCAAGGAGAAUGCUGCCUGCAACUGGCUAGGGGCUCUACUUCUCCAUGGUGCUUGGCCCCAUGAGGCCACAGCCAGGGCAGCAGGAGCACUGAAGAGGCUCCUGCUUCCCAGAAAGUGGUGCAUGGAACCCCAGCAGCUGAGCUCUAGGAGCAGGGACCAAACUGUCAGACCCAGGGAUUCUGCAGAUCCCGACAGGGCCUGAGCAGUCCUGGAAGGCAGAGAGCUGCAGAGCCAACCUUAUUCACAUCCAAAAAUAAGAACUGUGUGAUUCUUUCCCUGAAAGGUCAAGGUAAGUCCAUGAAUUCAUAUCAUAUCCUUGAGCCUGUCUCUGUUAGUCUUGAUUGAUUCAUGUCAUCCAUCACAGAGUGACUACUGGCCUUGUUCUGUCCCCACAGCUUUGAUGCCUGGGAGACAGAGAUGAAGAAGACAGAGGAGGUCACACCACACAGCGUACGUGUGAGGCAGGGGCACAAUGAACAAGACAGAGAAUAAAAAUUUCAUGAAAGUCACCACUGAAAUGCAGAAAAUUAAAGUGGAAUUAUCUGGUGACAGGACUGGGAGGUGCAUGUGGAGGCCUCACUUGACUUCUGAGGUGAACCCUUCUGGGUCCUUCGCUGGGCCCCACCUACCUCUGCUCAGCCCUGGACACUGCUGACUCUGGGCUCACCAGAGCCUCAGGGGACAGGCAGACCUUAAGGCAGCCUGGGCUCCUUCUGACCCAGGCCGGGUGCUCCUCACAGACUGUCAGCCUUCUGAUGCCUUCACGAACUGUUCGUUACAUGUUCUGGGCUUUUCUAGUUGUCCUCUCCAGGACAGUUGAUCUAAACAACACCACCCACCACUAUCAAAGUCCGAAGCUUUGUUUAAAAGUGGAAAACUGUUCAGAAUGAGCACAGGCCCUUCAAGCUCCCAGCCAACCCACUUCUGAGGGACCAACUGUGGCUGGCAGUGAGCAUUUCUGGCCCCUGGUUGGGCCUGCACAGACCUGAGAGCCUUCCAUUCAGCAUCUGCACAUGCUCCACACCGUGGCAGGGCUGGACCUCCUGGAUCCCCUCCGUGCUGCAUCAGUGUCUGCUUUGCUGGAAGUCUCCUGUCCGAUGACCCUGAACUCUCUCAGCCUCUCUAUCCAUUACAGUUCUCCAUCCUCCCCUUCAGAGGACUGGCAUCUGCAUCUUUGUCCCAAGGCACCUGACCAGCAGCAUCCAUCUACUGUCCUCUGACGUGUAAGGCGGACAGGGUGGUGACGGACUGGUCUGCACGCCAGUCUGUCAUCUGUUACCUAGGGCUGGAAGUCAGGCGGAUGUGCUGCUUACUCGGGGUUUGAUUGCAGUGUGGGAUAGGACUCACAAGCCUCCUUACCCAGCCAAGGCCUGCAGAAGCAUUUUUCAGGCAUAAGCAUGACUUCCGGGGUACUUGGGUGUGAAUAAGAACUGCUCCGGAUGCCAGCCUGCUCUGCCCUGCACGCCUCCUCCUGCCUCCAGGUAACAGGCACACGCAUCAGCAGCUCUGCCCGUAGGCCGGGCUGGGUUCCCGUUGGGGCAGUGUGUGCCACCAGGCUCAGCACUUUCACACAGGCCAGGGGACUUGGUCAGGCGCUGUCCUGUAUUAGGGCCCUGGAGGCCCCUCCAACAAUAGAACUCAGCUUUUCACUCGGGAUGGAUUUGUGCCCAUUUCUCCCCACCACCAAACAACACUCCACACACCAGACAGGCAAGCCAGUCUUUGACCACAUCCUAACUACAGAAAGAGCUCUUGAGGGAAAUUCUUUUUAGUCUCACAUCACACAUGUGCCUUCACAUGGUGUCAUAGACCUGGGAGGUCAUGGUCGUCUGCGGCUGUAAGGGGGCCGAAGGACACCAAAACGGAUAUGCAGAUUGUCCUCGUAUUGCUCUGACGAAUUACAUGCUUGCCGUAUUUUGUGAACAGCCCUGCAUCCUCCCUGCAAUCAAGCAGGGGUCUGGGCUCCAGUUCCUCCUUAAGUAGAACUAGAGUCAGGAAAGCCUGAGACUUCCAAGGACAUUCAAGCCCAAGAGAUGGCAGGCCAGCAGCACCAGAGUACACAAGGGUCCACAGCUACCAGGCCAAGGUCACCUAGGAAUGUCGCCUCUCUGGACCAGCAGCACUGUAGGAAUGGUCUGCUGCCCCUGCCCCUGUCCCUCCGCUGUGGGCACAGGCCCUAUAUGUCUUAGCAGGAAAGGGUGUCUUUUGAGGCCAUCUUGUCUUACGCUCUGGCCUCUUUAAACUCCUGUGUAGCUCAGCGACUGUGGCUGAACUACAAUUGGUUGGCUGCUCCACCUUCCCGAACGCCAUCUUCUUGCCCCGUGCCAUCGGAGAGUCCCAUUUUAAAACUGUCCUCUCUCUGAUGAGAUCAGUGUGCCCUCAGGUCUCCACCCAGAUGACUGGGCUGUUGGUUGGCUUUGCUUUGCUCCUGAUCUUCUCUUUCUUCUGCAGCGCUAACAUUAAAUGAUAGAAACUGGUGUUUUGAAGAAUUUCAUGUGGAUGCCGCCCCACUGAGAUCCUGUUCUACACCUCCCACUCCCCAAGGCCAGCCUGCUGGGACCUGGGGGACAAGUCUCAGAGCCCCUCCUUCCAGCCCUGUCCCUGUCUUCACUCAGCUUCCCUUGGAACCAGAACUUCUCGGGAGUCUGCCCUUAUCUCCUGGCUCUUUGAAGUCGCUUCUUUAUGACCUCCUCAGCCCCAGGGAGGUGACAGCAUCUUGAAGGACCUCCUUGUCCUGUGGUGAAGGACAAGUGGUGUCACUUCUGACCUGAGCCUGUCCCCACCUGCUGGUCAUUUGAAGCCCCUCAGGGAGUGGGUUUGGGUUUCUGUGGGACAUAAGCUGCAUUUUACACCCCCACGCCUCACCUGGGGCAGGUGGGACAGGGCCAGAAAUAACCCCCAGGAACAAAAAUGUGCCAGGUGAGAGAUGUGAUGACUGCUGGCAACACAACACAUUCAGCAUAAAUCGGGAUAUUCAGCACCUUCCUUGUGUGAUUUUUUUCAUCCGAAAGGGAAAUUUAAAAUGUGGAUUAAAUAUUCUACACUUAUUUUUA